GGAGAGUUGUCCGAGUGGUCGAAGGAGCUGGUCUCGAAAAUCAGUGUAUCUUUUAGGUACCGAGGGUUCGAACCCCUCACUCUCCG
rnacentral:tRNA from 1 species